CGACGCCCAAGGCUCGCAGGGGCACGGAGAGGAGGGCCGGUCUGGGUCUGUCGAACCUCACCCGAACUUAGGAGGCGCUGAACAGAAAAGGAUCACAUCACAGAAGGAAGCAGAGCUCGUAGGAUGAAUAAGUGACCCAUCUGCUCCAGGAAGAAGGUUCUCUUUCCUCAUCGUCUGCACACGGGGACCCGUGCGCCACAGCCCAGGCCUCCCUCCAUCAUCAGCUCCAUCCGCCGCCGUGAA